rnacentral:rRNA from 1 species
UACGUAGGGGACAAGCGUUGUCCGGAAUCAUUGGGCGUAAAGAGCGUGUAGGCGGCCAGAAAAGUCCGCUGUGAAAACUCGAGGCUCAACUUCGAGCUGUCGGUGGAAACUUUCUGGCUAGAGUCCGGAAGAGGAGAAUGGAAUUCCUGGUGUAGCGGUGAAAUGCGCAGAUAUCAGGAAGAACACCUAUGGCGAAGGCAGCACUCUGGGACGGUACUGACGCUGAGACGCGAAAGCGUGGGGAGCGAACAGG